rnacentral:tRNA from 1 species
GCGACCGUGGUCUAGUUUGGUUAGGACGGAAGCCUCCCAAGCUUCCAACCCGAGUCGGUUUUCAAAAGCCGCGGGAUUUCAAAUCCCGGCGGUCGCACCA